GAUGAACGCUGGCGGCGUGCCUAAUACAUGCAAGUCGAGCGAACAGACGAGGAGCUUGCUCCUCUGACGUUAGCGGCGGACGGGUGAGUAACACGUGGAUAACCUACCUAUAAGACUGGGAUAACUUCGGGAAACCGGAGCUAAUACCGGAUAAUAUAUUGAACCGCAUGGUUCAAUAGUGAAAGACGGUUUUGCUGUCACUUAUAGAUGGAUCCGCGCCGCAUUAGCUAGUUGGUAAGGUAACGGCUUACCAAGGCAACGAUGCGUAGCCGACCUGAGAGGGUGAUAGGCCACACUGGAACUGAGACACGGUCAAGACUCCUAAGGGAGGCAGCAGUAGGGAAUCUUCCGCAAUGGGCGAAAGCCUGACGGAGCAACGCCGCGUGAGUGAUGAAGGUCUUCGGAUCGUAAAACUCUGUUAUUAGGGAAGAACAAAUGUGUAAGUAACUAUGCACGUCUUGACGGUACCUAAUCAGAAAGCCACGGCUAACUACGUG
rnacentral:rRNA from 1 species